UCCGUAGGUGGCAAGCGUUGUCCGGAUUUAUUGGGUUUAAAGGGUGCGUAGGCGGUCCUAUAAGUCAGUGCUGAAAUAUCCCGGCUUAACCGGGAGGGUGGCAUUGAUACUGCAGGACUUGAGUAAAGUUGAGGUUGGCGGAAUUGACGGUGUAGCGGUGAAAUGCUUAGAUAUCGUCAAGAACACCUAUUGCGAAGGCAGCUAACUAAGCUUUAACUGACGCUGAGGCACGAAAGUGUGGGGAUCAAACAGG
rnacentral:rRNA from 1 species